GCGCGGGUGGCGGAAUUGGUAGACGCGCUAGACUAAGGAUCUAGUCCGAGUUAAUCGGGUGCGGGUUCGAUUCCCGCCUCGCGCACCA
rnacentral:tRNA from 5 species